rnacentral:rRNA from 1 species
UACGUAGGGUGCAAGCGUUAAUCGGAAUUACUGGGCGUAAAGCGUGCGCAGGCGGCUUUGCAAGACAGAUGUGAAAUCCCCGGGCUUAACCUGGGAACUGCAUUUGUGACUGCAUGGCUGGAGUGCGGCAGAGGGGGAUGGAAUUCCGCGUGUAGCAGUGAAAUGCGUAGAGAUGUGGAGGAAUACCGAUGGCGAAGGCAGCCCCCUGGGAUAACACUGACGCUCAUGCACGAAAGCGUGGGGAGCAAACAGG